rnacentral:rRNA from 1 species
GACGAACGCUGGCGGCGUGAUUAACACAUGCAAGUCGAACGGAAAGGCCCUGCUUUUGUGGGGUGCUCGAGUGGCGAACGGGUGAGUAACACGUGAGUAACCUGCCCUUGACUUUGGGAUAACUUCAGGAAACUGGGGCUAAUACCGGAUAGGAGCUCCUGCUGCAUGGUGGGGGUUGGAAAGUUUCGGCGGUUGGGGAUGGACUCGCGGCUUAUCAGCUUGUUGGUGGGGUAGUGGCUUACCAAGGCUUUGACGGGUAGCCGGCCUGAGAGGGUGACCGGCCACAUUGGGACUGAGAUACGGCCCAGACUCCUACGGGAGGCAGCAGUGGGGAAUAUUGCACAAUGGGCGGAAGCCUGAUGCAGCAACGCCGCGUGCGGGAUGACGGCCUUCGGGUUGUAAACCGCUUUCGCCUGUGACGAAGCGUGAGUGACGGUAAUGGUAAAGAAGCACCGGCUAACUACGUG